CCUACGGGAGGCAGCAGUGAGGAAUAUUGGUCAAUGGGCGGGAGCCUGAACCAGCCAAGCCGCGUGAGGGAAGAAGGUACAGCGUAUCGUAAACCUCUUUUGUCAGGGAACAAAGGCGGGGACUAGUCCCCGGAUGAGGGUACCUGAAGAAAAAGCAUCGGCUAACUCCGUGCCAGCAGCCGCGGUAAUACGGAGGAUGCGAGCGUUAUCCGGAUUUAUUGGGUGUAAAGGGAGCGUAGACGGCAGUGCAAGUCUGGAGUGAAAGGCGGGGGCUCAACCCCCGAACUGCUCUGGAUACUGGACGGCUGGAGUGCAGGAGAGGUAGGUGGAAUUCCUGGUGUAGCGGUGAAAUGCGUAGAUAUUAGGAGGAACACCGGUGGCGAAGGCGGCUUACUGGACUGUAACUGACGUUGAGGCUCGAAAGCGUGGGGAGCAAACAGGAUUAGAUACCCGGGUAGUC
rnacentral:rRNA from 1 species